AACGAACGCUGGCGGCAUGCCUAACACAUGCAAGUCGAACGAGACCUUCGGGUCUAGUGGCGCACGGGUGCGUAACGCGGGGGAACCUGCCCUUAGGUUCGGAAUAACUCCCCGAAAGGGGUGCUAAUACCGGAUAAUGUCUUCGGACCAAAGAUUUAUCGCCUUUGGAUGGGCCCGCGUUGGAUUAGAUAGUUGGUAGGGUAAAAGCCUACCAAGGCGACGAUCCAUGGCUGGUCAGAGAGGAUGGUCAGCCACACUGGGACUGAGACACGGCCCAGACGCCUACGUGAGGCAGCAGUGGGGGAUGUUGAAAAAUGGGGGCAAAGCUGAUCCAGCCAUGGCGCGUGAGUGAUGAAGGAAUUGGGGUUGUAAACCUCUGUAGUAAGGGAAGCUAAGGAGGGUAGCGGGAAAGUAAGACCCGGCUAACCUGGUG
rnacentral:rRNA from 1 species